GCCUGGCUGGCUCCACUGUAGAGCAUGAGACUCUUGAUCUCGGGGUUGUGAGUUCGAGCCCCAGGUUGGGCG
rnacentral:tRNA from 1 species